rnacentral:tRNA from 1 species
GCAGGUGUAGUUCAAUGGUAGAACACGACCUUGCCAAGGUUGAGGCGGGGGUUCAAUUCCCUCACCUGCUCCA